AGACACCAGUGGCGAAGGCGGCUGUCUGGUCUGUAACUGACGCUGAGGCAAGAAAGCAUGGGUAGCGAACAGGAUUAGAUACCCUGGAGAACAGGCCGUAAACGAUGAAUGCUAAGUGUUGGAGGGUUUCCGCCCUUCAGUGCUGCAGCUAACGCAUUUACGAAAACCGCCUGGGGGAGUACGACCGCAAGGUUGAAACUCAAAAGAAUUGACGGGGGCCCGCACAAGCGGUGGAGCAUGUGGUUUAAUUCGAAGCUACGCGAAGAACCUUACCAGGUCUUGACAUCUUCUGCCAAUCUAAGAGAUUAGACGUUCCCUUCGGGGACAGAAUGACAGGUGGUGCAUGGUUGUCGUCAGCUCGUGUCGUGAGAUGUUGGGUUAAGUCCCGCAACGAGCGCAACCCUUAUUAUUAGUUGCCAGCAUUAAGUUGGGCACUCUAGUGAGACUGCCGGUGACAAACCGGAGGAAGGUGGGGAUGACGUCAAAAUCAUCAUGCCCCUUAUGACUUUGG
rnacentral:rRNA from 1 species